rnacentral:rRNA from 3 species
UUGAGCUAACCGAUACUAAUGAACCGUGAGGCUUAACCUUACAACGCCGAAG